rnacentral:rRNA from 1 species
AUUGAACGCUGGCGGCAGGCCUAACACAUGCAAGUCGAGCGGGGUUUUCGGACCUAGCGGCGGACGGGUGAGUAAUGCGUAGGAAGCUACCCGAUAGAGGGGGAUACCAGUUGGAAACGACUGUUAAUACCGCAUAAUGUCUACGGACCAAAGUGUGGGACCUUCGGGCCACAUACUAUCGGAUGCGCCUACCUGGGAUGAGCUAGUUGGUGAGGUAAUGGCUCACCAAGGCGACGAUCCCUAGCUGGUUUGAGGGGAUGAUCAGCCACACUGGAACUGAGACACGGUCCAGACUCCUACGGGAGGCAGCAGUGGGGAAUAUUGGACAAUGGGCGCAAGCCUGAUCCAGCCAUGCCGCGUGUGUGAAGAAGGCCUUCGGGUUGUAAAGCACUUUCAGUAGGGAGGAAGCGUUGUGUGUUAAUAGUACACAGCGUUGACGUUACCUACAGAAGAAGCACCGGCUAACUCUGUGCCAGCAGCCGCGGUAACAC